AUUGAACGCUGGCGGCAGGCCUAACACAUGCAAGUAGAACGAGUGGCGGACGGGUGAGUAAUGUCUGGGAAACUGCCCGAUGGAGGGGGAUAACUACUGGAAACGGUAGCUAAUACCGCAUACCAUCGGAUGUGCCAAGAUGGGAUUAGCUAGUAGGUGGGGUAACGGCUAACCUAGGCGACGAUCCCUAGCUGGUCUGAGAGGAUGAACAGCGAACCUGCAACUGGUACACGGUCCCGACUCCUACGGGAGGCAGCAGUGGUGAAUAUUGCACAAUGGGCGCAAGCCUGCUGCAGCCAUGCCGCGUGUAUGAAGAAGGCCUUCGGGUUGUAAAGUACUUUCAGCGAGGAGGCGUUACUCGCAGAAGAAGCACCGGCUAACUCCGUGCCAGCAGCCGCGGUAAUUC
rnacentral:rRNA from 1 species